rnacentral:lncRNA from 1 species
ACAAUGAUCAAUAUAAUAGUUAUAAGUGUUUGGAUCACAGUUCAACACUACAAAACUGCUUGAUACAUAUCUAUGUCCAUAAUAAACAUUGGCAUUACAUAUUCAAACAGAAAUACCACAAAAGUUCAAAAUCAUACCUAAUCUUAAAAGAAUAAUGAUGAAAAUUAAGUUGCUUCGUAUUCUUGAUAUAAAUAGGACAUCAUGAAAGAAUAUAGUAUAACUACCACG